UAACCUGAUCGACUUGCCAUA
rnacentral:miRNA from 1 species